GCCUCUUCCCCAUGACCCUUCCCUCUCUUUCUUUGAGUCUGCUAUUGACCUACAACACACACACACAAAAGCCACUGAGGAAUCAAAACACUUACAAACAUCAUUAUAUUCACACUCUCUACUCCCCCCUCUCGAUCUCUACUGCAUAAAUACAUAAACCACAACAUCCUUAGCCAAACACCCCACCCCCUAUCUCUUCUCUGGUGAGACCACCGGCAGCGGUGGCUGUUUCCGGCCGCGACUCACUUACACACAACCUGCAACCCUCCCCUCUUACAUUCCCCCUGUAAUCAGAGAUGAACGGCCACCACCAUUUUAGUGGUGGCGUGCGGCGGCACAAAUACAGACAAGAGAGAGAGAGAGAGACGCGGGAAGAGAGAGGAAGAGAGAAGAGGAUGGCAUGCAGCGGCGGUAGUCACCGGUGACGGUAGUGGCGGCAGCCUGCGAUGGUCUCCGACAAACUUCUGAGCAGUCAAGAUAACCAACCUUCUUCUCCGCUCGAAUCACACAGUGGACUUGGCGUGCAUACGGAUUCGUAUCAGAUGCUUUCUCGGUUCGGUCAACACGAUCAGCGGAGUCAGCUUUGGUUCGGGUUGUGUCGGUUCAGUUUCGGUUCGGUCGAGUAGUCAACGCCGGUCAAACUGAUCAGAUUCGGUGUUCGGGUGACCUCGGUGUUCCAUCCUCCUAAUCUUACGCUCGUCAACACUUGGAUAAUCGAAAGACUUAGCAAUUAUGUGAGUACACUUGACCCAUUUUCCUUUUAAUACACUUUGGGUGCAACAUGUUUACUUGUUAAAAUGCACAAUUUACAAACAUGCUUUUAUUCAUUCGAUUCGUAUACAUGCUUUGUUAUGCUUAAAGUUCAUGCUAGAAUACAUACUACUUGUUAACUCGGCUUAAACAAUUAUAGCGCUAUAGGAGUAGCACACCACCCGACGGGGUUUUCUUAAGUUUCAUUCUUUACGGUCUCGAUUACUUCGGUAUCGAGGGAUGCUAUUUAUUAUACAUAAACGGUCUCGUCAAUUUGUGGCGAGGGAUGCUAAAUACUAGUGGACAUUAGAGUUGACAUAUUGUAUUACAUGAUAGUUUGCUAUGUUGGAUUGAAAAUACUUUUUUUCACAUGACACGAGUCUAAAACUUGUGUACUCGCCAAUACCUUUGUAUUGAA